ACGCUAGCUACAGGCUUAACACAUGCAAGUCGAGGGGAAACGGCAUUGAGUGCUUGCACUCUUUGGACGUCGACCGGCGCACGGGUGAGUAACGCGUAUCCAACCUUCCCAUUACUGUGGGAUAACCUGCCGAAAGGCAGACUAAUACCGCAUAGUCUUCGAUGACGGCAUCAGAUUUGAAGUAAAGAUUUAUCGGUAAUGGAUGGGGAUGCGUCUGAUUAGCUUGUUGGCGGGGUAACGGCCCACCAAGGCAACGAUCAGUAGGGGUUCUGAGAGGAAGGUCCCCCACAUUGGAACUGAGACACGGUCCAAACUCCUACGGGAGGCAGCAGUGAGGAAUAUUGGUCAAUGGACGGAAGUCUGAACCAGCCAAGUAGCGUGCAGGAUGACGGCCCUAUGGGUUGUAAACUGCUUUUGUAUGGGGAUAAAGUUAGGGACGUGUCCCUAUUUGCAGGUACCAUACGAAUAAGAACCGGCUAAUUCCGUGCCAGCAGCCGCGGUAAUACGGAAGGUCCAGGCGUUAUCCGGAUUUAUUGGGUUUAAAGGGAGCGUAGGCUGGAGAUUAAGUGUGUUGUGAAAUGUGGACGCUCAACGUCUGAAUUGCAGCGCAUACUGGUUUCCUUGAGUACGCACAACGUUGGCGGAAUUCGUCGUGUAGCGGUGAAAUGCUUAGAUAUGACGAAGAACUCCGAUUGCGAAGGCAGCUGACGGGAGCGCAACUGACGCUUAAGCUCGAAGGUGCGGGUAUCAAACAGGAUUAGAUACCCUGGUAGUCCGCACAGUAAACGAUGGAUGCCCGCUGUUGGUACCUGGUAUCAGCGGCUAAGCGGAAGCAUUAAGCAUCCCACCUGGGGAGUACGCCGGCAACGGUGAAACUCAAAGGAAUUGACGGGGGCCCGCACAAGCGGAGGAACAUGUGGUUUAA
rnacentral:rRNA from 1 species